rnacentral:rRNA from 1 species
AACGAACGCUGGCGGCAUGCCUAACACAUGCGAGUCGAACGAGACCUUCGGGUCUAGUGGCGCACGGGUGCGUAACGCGUGGGAACCUGCCCUUAGGUUCGGAAUAACUCCCCGAAAGGGGUGCUAAUACCGGAUAAUGUCUUCGGACCAAAGAUUUAUCGCCUUUGGAUGGGCCCGCGUUGGAUUAGCUAGUUGGUAGGGUAAAAGCCUACCAAGGCGACGAUCCAUAGCUGGUCUGAGAGGAUGAUCAGCCACACUGGGACUGAGACACGGCCCAGACUCCUACGGGAGGCGGCAGUGGGGAAUAUUGGACAAUGGGCGAAAGCCUGAUCCAGCAAUGCCGCGUGAGUGAUGAAGGCCUUAGGGUUGUAAAGCUCUUUUACCCGGGAUGAUAAUGACAGUACCGGGAGAAUAAGCUCCGGCUAACUCCGUG